rnacentral:rRNA from 1 species
AGCAUUCUCUGGUGUUGAAGGCCCUGCAAAGCAGCAUCGCGGUGGCGGAGCGUCGUUUGCGACGCCCAACACACAAAACAAGCGGUGAGUGCUUUGGGGUGGGGUGACUGCGUACCUUUUGUAUAAUGGGUCAGCGACUUAUAUUCUGUAGCAAGGUUAACCGAAUAGGGGAGCCGGAGGGAAACCGAGUCUUAAUUGGGCGUUAAGUUGCAGGGUAUAGACCCGAAACCCGGUGAUCUAGCCAUGGGCAGGUUGAAGGUUGGGUAACACUAACUGGAGGACCGAACCGACUAAUGUUGAAAAAUUAGCGGAUGACCUGUGGCUGGGGGUGAAAGGCCAAUCAAACCGGGAGAUAGCUGGUUCUCCCCGAAAGCUAUUUAGGUAGCGCCUCGUGAAUUCAUCUCCGGGGGUAGAGCACUGUUUCGGCUAGGGGGCCAUCCCGGCUUACCAACCCGAUGCAAACUGCGAAUACCGGAGAAUGUUAUCACGGGAGACACACGGCGGGUGCUAACGUCCGUCGUGAAGAGGGAAACAACCCAGACCGCCAGCUAAGGUCCCAAAGUCAUGGUUAAGUGGGAAACGAUGUGGGAAGGCCCAGACAGCCAGGAUGUUGGCUUAGAAGCAGCCAUCAUUUAAAGAAAGCGUAAUAGCUCACUGGUCGAGUCGGCCUGCGCGGAAGAUGUAACGGGGCUAAACCAUGCACCGAAGCUGCGGCAGCGACACUCAGGUGUUGUUGGGUAGGGGAGCGUUCUGUAAGCCUGCGAAGGUGG